UACGAACUGUGCAAACGUUAUUCGGAUUCACUGGGCUUAAAGCGUGUGUAGGCGGAGGCCUAAGUACCUUGUGAAAUCCCACGGCUCAACCGUGGAACUGCUUGGUAUACUGGGUCUCUUGAGCCACCUAGGGGCAAGUGGAACAAACGGUGGAGCGGUGAAAUGCGUAGAUAUCGGAAGGAACACCUGUGGCGAAAGCGGCUCACUGGACCAUUACUGACGCUGAGGCACGAAAGCUAGGGGGAGCAAACAGG
rnacentral:rRNA from 1 species